rnacentral:rRNA from 1 species
AGGACGAACGCUGGCGGCGUGCUUAACACAUGCAAGUCGAGCGGUAAGGCUCCUUCGGGAGUACACGAGCGGCGAACGGGUGAGUAACACGUAAGCAAUCUGCCCUUCUCAUCGGAAUAACCACUGGAAACGGUGGCUAAUGCCGAAUAUGACCUCGGAUCACAUGUUCUGAGGUGGAAAGCUCCGGCGGAGAAGGACGAGCUUGCGGCCUAUCAGCUUGUUGGUGAGGUAAUGGCUCACCAAGGCGAUGACGGGUAGCCGGCCUGAGAGGGUGACCGGCACACUGGGACUGAGACACGCCCAGACUCCUACGGGAGCAGCAGUGGGAAUAUGGACAAUGGGCGAAAGCCUGAUCCAGCAACGCCGCGUGGAGGAUGACGGCCUUCGGUUGUAACCUCUUCAGCAGGACGAAGACGAAAGUGACGGUACCUGCGAAGAAGAAGACCGGACCAACUACGACCACCACGCGACGCCGACGGUAAUCGUGAGCGG